GCUAGGACAGCUGGGGAGCGUAUAGCCUACUGUAGACUCGUCCCAAUAACACGCACCAUGGACAGCAGCCCUGGGAACGGAAUACACAAAAAGAGGAGAAAGGAGGACAAACGAGUUAUACGAUUACCAGCCAUUCCCAACGCUCCCACUUCGCUGUGCCAGGGGGGCAAAGAAAGGCAGAGCACAUCCCAAAGACUGCACAAGCUCUUCUUCUCCAACUGUCUCGCAGACUUUGGUCCGCUGAAGAAGACCAGUAGGACAACGAACAAGUGGAAAAACUGGGACAUGCAUGUCCCAAAAUUGAGUCUAGAGACGGAGCGCUCCAUCGAGGAUUACCUCAGACAGCGUCUUGGACACAAUAAUCCGCUCUCACCUUACACAGAGACUGACGUGCUGCACCUGCUCGGUACACCACAAGCUCCUUUCUACAAGCGUAAGACCCUCAGCGCCAUCAAGUCCCUGACCGAUCAACACGAACCGCACGGCUCCCAUGAGGUCCUCAUCAGAAGCAUGGCGGCUCUGGGCCACGAAGACGGGGAGGAGGAAGAGGCGGGGCCCGGGGAGAGCGCGGGCGCCACGACGACGUCCAACGAGAGCGGGCCACGUCCGUCGGCCGGCUCCGAC
ensembl:lncRNA